GAUGAACGCUGGCGGCGGGCCUAAUACAUGCAAGUCGAGCGAACAGACGAGGAGCUUGCUCCUCUGACGUUAGCGGCGGACGGGUGAGUAACACGUGGAUAACCUACCUAUAAGACUGGGAUAACUUCGGGAAACCGGAGCUAAUACCGGAGAAUAUAUUCAACCGCAUGGUUCAAUAGUGAAAGACGGUUUUCCUGUCACUUAUAGAUGGAUCCGCGCCGCAUUAGCUAGUUGGUAAGGUAACGGCUUACCAAGGCAACGAUGCGUAGCCGACCUGAGAGGGUGAUCGGCCACACUGGAACUGAGACACGGUCCAGACUCCUACGGGAGGCAGCAGUAGGGAAUCUUCCGCAAUGGGCGAAAGCCUGACGGAGCCACGCCGCGUGAGUGAUGAAGGUCUUCGGAUCGUAAAACUCUGUUAUUAGGGAAGAACAAAUGUGUAAGUAACUAUGCACGUCUUGACGGUACCUAAUCAGAAAGCCACGGCUAACUACGUG
rnacentral:rRNA from 1 species